GUGUCAGCCGCCGCGGUAAUACGUAGGGGGCAAGCGUUGUCCGGAUUUAUUGGGCGUAAAGAGCGUGUAGGCGGCUAAGUAGGUCCGUUGUGAAAACUCGAGGCUCAACCUCGAGCUGUCGAUGGAAACCACCUAGCUAGAGUCCGGAAGAGGAGAGUGGAAUUCCUGGUGUAGCGGUGAAAUGCGCAGAUAUCAGGAAGAACACCCGUGGCGAAGGCGGCUCUCUGGUACGUGACUGACGCUGAGACGCGAAAGCGUGGGGAGCGAACAGGAUUAGAAACCCCAGUAGUCC
rnacentral:rRNA from 1 species